GACGAACGCUGGCGGCGUGCUUAACACAUGCAAGUCGAACGGUGAAGGGACCGGUUUUUGCUGGUUCUGGAUGAGUGGCGAACGGGUGAGUAACACGUGAGUAACCUGCCCCCUUCUUCUGGAUAACCGCAUGAAAGUGUGGCUAAUACGGGAUAUUCUGCGCCUGCUGCAUGGUGGGUGUGGGAAAGAUAUUGUUUCGGCGGGGGAUGGGCUCGCGGCCUAUCAGCUUGUUGGUGGGGUGAUGGCCUACCAAGGCGGUGACGGGUAGCCGGCCUGAGAGGGUGGACGAUCACACUGGGACUGAGACACGGCCCAGACUCCUACAGGAGGCAGCAGUGGGGAAUAUUGCACAAUGGGCGCAAGCCUGAUGCAGCGACGCCGCGUGAGGGAUGGAGUCCUUCGGGUUGUAAACCUCUUUCGCCAGUGAAGCAGGCCUGUCCCUUUUGUGGGUGGGUUGACGGUAGCUGGAUAAGAAGCGCCGGCUAACUACGUG
rnacentral:rRNA from 1 species